rnacentral:rRNA from 1 species
GAGGAACUAAGCCACCGAAGGUGGUCUAAUACUUCAUAAUAUCCAUCUCGUAUGGAUUAAAGCUUUAUGCGCUUUGGAGGGCCUGCGUAACAUUAGCUUGUUGGUGAGGUAAAAGCUCACCAAGGCUUCGAUGUUUAACUGGUUUGAGAGGAUGACCAGUCACACUGGGACUGAGAUACGGCCCAGACUCCUACGGGAGGCGGCAGUAAGGAAUCUUUCCACAAUGGGGGCAACCCUGAUGGAGCAAUACCGCGUGCAGGAUGAAGCGUUUCGGCGUGUAAACUGCUUUUAUCACCGAAGAUUAUGACUGUAGGUGAAGAAUAAGGACCGGCUAACUACGUG